CAGGGUUGUUAUGAGGCUCAAAGGAACUGCUGCUGUCUGUGAAAAAACAUGCUUUGCAAUUUAUGAAGCACUGGAUAAACAUCAGGAACAGUAUAAAAGCGUACUACUUCCUCAAGAAAUACUAGUUGAGUGCCUGUGUGUUGGGCACUGGCUAGAGAUAAGGGGCCUCCUAUGGACAGAAGUGCGGGCAAGGAGCUUUGUUCCUCCCCGAUGUCACCCUCCCACAGCCCACCUGCUAGCAGGCAAGAGAGUGGUGGAGGCCGGCAGGAAGGCAUGUACUGAACUGGGCCUCUGGUGGAAUGGCGUCACCCAUGCUGGGCUUGACUCUUACCAUCGGGGUCCCGCCAACCCUUCAGUGAGACUUUUUCAGAAGAAUCCCUUUUAAAAUGACCUCAAGCUGACCUUCCUGCUGCAGAUUCCACAUAUGGUAUCUGAGACUCACACAGUGUGGUUGGAAGAUAGCACAGUGACCUCCCAGGCACAGCCCCCUGCCAGCCCUCCACUGGCUGCCCUAGGAUGCUGGCCUUCCUCCGAUGGGAGUCGGGCCCAGUCUGCUGUCAGCCAGGAGCAGCCAGCAAGCUCCCUGGGAGGCCUGGAGGAGCCCUUCUCACUCAGCUUGGUGUUCGAUGCCAGUGCCCCCACCCAUUGUGGGGUGAGGGUGGGACUCUCAGCACAGCCCUGUCCAAAUAAAUCCUCUAAAGCCCUCUUC
rnacentral:antisense_RNA from 1 species